rnacentral:rRNA from 1 species
AGCGAACGCUGGCGGCGUGCCUAACACAUGCAAGUCGAACGUGAAAGGGAGCAAUCCCAAGUAACGUGGCGUACGGGUGAGUAACACGUAGGUAAUAUACCCCAGAAUCUGGAAUAACCGGCCGAAAGGCUGGCUAAUACUGGCUAAUGCGACGGAAUCCGUAAUUGGGUUUUUCGGGAAAGGGCGCCUGUAAAGAGGCCUUCGUUCUGGGAUGAGCCUGCGUCCCAUCAGCUAGUUGGUGCGGUAAAAGCUUACCAAGGCAAUGAAGGGUAGCUGGGCUGAGAGGACGAUCAGCCAACCUGGAACUGGAACACGGUCCAGACCCCCACGGGAGGCAGCAGGGGGGAAACUUUCGCAAUGGAGGAAAGUCUGACGCAGCAACGCCGCGUGAGUGAAGAAGGCCUUCGGGUUGUAAAGCUCUGUCGAGUGGGACGAAAAAGCUUGGAGUUCACAGCUCCAGGAACUGACGGUACCACAAAAGGAAGCACCGGCUAACUCCGUG